CCUACGGGAGGCUGCAGUGGGGGAUAUUGCACAAUGGGGGAAACCCUGAUGCAGCGACGCCGCGUGGGUGAAGAAGCGCCUCGGCGCGUAAAGCCCUGUCAGCAGGGAAGAAAAUGACGGUACCUGAAGAAGAAGCCCCGGCUAACUACGUGCCAGCAGCCGCGGUAAUACGUAGGGGGCAAGCGUUAUCCGGAUUUACUGGGUGUAAAGGGGGCGCAGACGGCGAUGCAAGCCAGGCGUGAAAGCCCGGGGCCCAACCCCGGGACUGCUCUUGGAACUGCGUGGCUAGAGUGCAGGAGGGGCAGGCGGAAUUCCUGGUGUAGCGGUGAAAUGCGUAGAUAUCAGGAGGAACACCGAUCGCGAAGGCAUCUCACGAAUCCGCGAUUGACGCUGAUGCACGAAAGCGUGGGGAGCAAACAGGAUUAGAUACCCCAGUAGUC
rnacentral:rRNA from 1 species